AUGUUCUCCAGACAAUUGCUUACGAGCUAUUUUUCCAGUAGAGGACAGAAAAGAAGGACUCCUUCGGACCUUUUGUCUGUUGAACACCUUCAAGUGAGAGAUGCUGCCACACUACCAAAUGUGUCUAGCCAGGCAGCCCCGCGCAGUGCCUGCUUGAGGGCGUUAUCGUGUUUGAGUGUUGCACCUCCUCGCCGUAAGAAAGGUGGAGGGAGGAGAACCGAGAACCGAACCGGCACUGUGACUUCCUCCAGCCCCACCCUCCCUUACCAGCCGUCUUUCUCCUGUGUCAUUCUGGAACAAGCAUCUAAUAGACUCUUCUUUCAACCUGGCAAGGCGGGAACUGAUAUCCAAUAG
rnacentral:lncRNA from 1 species